ACACUCAUGGUUCACCUCAAAUCGUAUUAAUCUUUCGCCUUUUACUAAAGAUUUCCGUGGAGAGGACCAACAUGAGUUUCUAGUAAUUUUUUUGAUGCUCUGCCUCAUGGCGGGGU